UUCCUCUGAAUCUUCAGACUGCAAAAAGCAUGUAAAUAGUGGAGAAGUUAUUAUUUGUACCUUUGAUUGUAGAAGAGUUGUAACUGUCAGUAAUGGAAUGUGGAUUUCAAAUGCAACUGUGCAAGUCAUGAAAUGAAAAGUCUAUCUGAAGCUAUUAGGAAAAGACAUUGUGGAACAUGGAACCAUGUUGAGCAACACCAGAGUUUGAGGGGGGAAGCUGUGCACUGGUGAUCCAAAGUAUGAGAGGGAAUCCAUACAGCCUUUGCGUAGGACAGGACAUUGAACUCAAUGAAGAUUAUUUCUUAAAAUAAAGUUUGGUUUUGAUUUUGAGAGGAAGGUAUUUCUGGAGUUGCCAAGAUUUGCACUGGAGCCUCAACUUACUCUGGAUCUACAUACAAGUACCUAUAAGGUGUGGUAGUGGUAGAUUCAUAGCAACAUCCUUCAGUAGAGAAUUACCAGUACCUCUGACCAUGGUAACCACUGCUUUUCCCUUGUCAAGCCACAAGAGCUUCAUUCUGUGAACUAGUAAGUCACUUUUAUUUUAGUAGUACACGCACAAAGGAAAGCCUCAAUAAUAAUCUUAUGUGCUAACUUUAUGUCUUUUAAUU
rnacentral:lncRNA from 1 species